GCAAUAGAUUUGUGAGGUCUGUUAAAUAAGAUAUUAACGAAGAUGUCAUAGGCAAUCAGAAGAUGAAACAUCAGAAGUUUUGACAAGCUAUGACAUGUAUCCCAUAACAGUUGUCUAUUGUAUGUAUAUUUUAGAUGGCAGUAUAAGUUAAUGACUUAAUGAUAAAACCUUCUUCUUGUUCUGGGUUCAACAAAGGGAUACUGGGAAGCACAAAUUUGAACUGCUAAAUGUGUUCAUCACACUUUAAAUUCAACAAUAUGUUAAAUUGUUCAU
rnacentral:misc_RNA from 1 species